rnacentral:lncRNA from 1 species
UGUUGCUAUUUAUAAAUCAAGAGAUCUACAUUGGGGUUUAUUAGCUACGAAAGACCACAAGGACGUUAAUCUCAGUUCUUUAAGGUUACUUCUUAUUGCAGAUGGAUCAAAUCCUUAAUCGCUGUGUUUUCUGUCAGAGUGUUACGGGAUGAACGGAUACGCGUAAUUUCGAAACAAAGAACAGAUUAUGCUGAAGAAGAGGAAGCUGGCAAUGUUGUUGAUAUAAAGUCAUGGCCUCUCCUCUUAGAUACUGAUGAAAUUCCAGAAGAGAAAUUAACUAGCAUGUAUAGUACCCCAACUACUGAAAUGAUAACUUAUUUGGAUUUAAAUGUUAGCCCAACUGGAAUGCUAGCUGGUAUUAAGAUGUCCCAUGCAGUAUCAACCUUUUUCUGUACAAGUAUGAAACUUGCCUGUGAAUUAUAUCCAUCAAGACACAUAACUUUUGGCCUUGAUCCUUACUGUUGUUUAGGUUUUGCC